ACAAAUGUUACUUUCAUUUCAUUCAGCUUUUCUAGUUGUUGCUCUUGGAAGUAUUGGUAUUAAUAGACAGAAAUGAGAGUCCUGGGGCCACUUCUUGUAAGAAGUAAAAGUUUCAGGCAGGUGUUCAUAGCAACCAAUGAAAUAAGCAGAGGUGCUGUAGAGAACUCUGGAAAGUUCCCAGAAGGGCAGUCCUUACCAUCAAUAUCAUGAGCUGACCCUUGGCUGCAAUUGAAGAGGCUGCUGCAUCUCAGCAGAUCAGAAUCAUCUGUAAUAUCUUAUUUGAAGAGAUGAAAUGACUACAUGCUUUAUCCAGCAUCACUCCCAAGAAUGUGAAGGAGACCGCUCUUUAAUACAUCACGGAGAGACAGCUUCUUGAGCAUGAGCCAGAAAUGAGUUCCUCAUAAAAGAUCCAGGUCAGAGCAUAAGCACUGGGCCAGUGUAGCUCCAAUGUCACUGGUGUGCUGCGUCCUGCUCUUACCAGCUCAUGAAAACCUCUUGUGUGUAUCUUUUCUCAACUCUGUGUUCAGUAACAUCACAUUAGCACCAUGAAAUUGGCCAUGAUGGGAAUAUUUACACCAUGGAAAUCAGCAAGCACUAUAAAUCAGAGCCUUGUUUUACUCAGAGAGCUGAUUAUAAAACAUUAGCCAGCAUAUUACCACCCAGAGGAGGUGAAUGGCAGAACACUAGGGCCAGAUUUCAAACCCUGUAUUAGGCUUGUAUGCUGAGGGCUGACUCAGUAACAGGCAUCAUGUCAAACUCUUUGCACGUGUUCCAUCAUUUAAUCCUCACAAUAAAACUGUGAGAUCAGAUGAUGGAGAGUAGGAGAUUUUGUGUAACCUGCUUAAGACCGCAGAGCAACCUAGGUCAGUCUGGUCCUCACAUCUUUGUUCUUAACUACUGCACUAAACAUUCUCCCUGCAGCUGCACAAAAUGGGAGGACAAACCCUAGACUAAAUGGAUUGGGAGGUUUUUAGUUACUGAGGGCAGAAAACAUAGUAUGGCAGAGUCCAAGAACUGGUGUUGGAACUGAGCACAUAGCAAGUCUACAUAUGACAAUGCAAACAGACCCUGAGGCAGGGCCUACAGGUUCCCAGUGAGCAGAAAAGCAAACUCAAAUAAGCUGGGAGGCAGUAGCCAGUCUUGGAUGCAUCUGUGGCUGAUGGGCAUAGUGCAAUGACACAGGAAACUAGAAUCAGCAAUAUGACAUGGCCACAUGCCAGCAGUAGCAGGAACCUGCCCGUGGGGCUUGGCGGCAGUUCUCUGCACUCACAGUGAGUGAUUUCCAAGAGCUAUGCAUAUCUGUCAAAGGAAUUUAGGUUCUAGGUGGGUUUUUCAGUCUGGGACUUGGUGAUGAUCCAGAGUUCCUGCUUUCAGGAAGAGGCAAUUUGAUCAGAAUAGAACUAGCAGAACAGAACUCAGGAUUAUACAAAGAUUCUGCAGUGUAGAGGGGUAGAGGUUCUUAGCUACGGAGAUGUCCCUGCCAAGACCUAAAAGCUGGGAGAGAAGGGACACCCAGAAUACUGAGAACUAAGCAGGCCUGGAACAAUGCCAAGGCAGGAUACAGGUUAUCCAUAGUGUGUAAAAUCUACAUGUUUUGGAGCAUAUUUUUAUUCUUAAAAAAUAGUGCUACAGAUUAUGGUGGAUAAUGCAGGUGCCCCACCACAUCCCCUAGCUGCCGUGAAUGUUGACUGCUGGAUAGUAUUCCAUCUACCUUGCUUCUUGCUUCUCUCAUUCUUCUUUUCUUAAGAGAAGCACUUCAACAAGAAUUCUUCUCAGGCUCUGCUUUUGGGGAAAGCAACCUAAGACACAGGUUCAUGAUGCUCUCUCUGGCCACCUUCCAGACAGGAAGAAAGAGCAGAGGAUCACUGUGAGAGGAAUUUGAGGAUCAAAUCCUGAAGUGGAGUAGAAAGCAGAAGGCAACGUUAGAUGUAAAAAGAAAGACCUCAAAGCACUGUUGCUGGUAUGAAGAUGGAGUACUUGUGCUGCCGAAGAGAACACAACAACACACUCAGAGACAGAGCCCAUAGACAAUGGCACCAGAGGAUCUAGGAGCAGAUUUCACUCUCCCCAUCAAUUUACCUUCCCAUAUUUUCCCACCUUUUGGAAGCCUGAAGAUGCUUUCUUCUUUUUCUUGUCACUAUGUAGGAUUUAUGGCUGUUUGUUAAAAUAUUAUUUAAGCAAGGACCCUAAGCCACUGCCUUGAGAAAGAAAUACUUUUGAACUGAGACCUUAGGAAAGGUCUCAUCAGGAGCAUCAUG
rnacentral:lncRNA from 1 species